rnacentral:rRNA from 1 species
AAAAAACGUAACAAGGUUUCCGUAGGUGAACCUGCGGAAGGAUCAUUAUCGAGUUUUGAACGGGUUGUAGCUGGCCUCUCACGAGGCAUGUGCACGCCUGGCUCAUCCACUCUUAACCUCUGUGCACUUUAUGUAAGAGAAAAAAAUGGUGGAAGCUUCCAGGAUCUCGCGAGAGGUCUUCGGUUGAACAAGCCGUUUUUCUUUCUUAUGUUUUACUACAAACGCUUCAGUUAUAGAAUGUCAACUGUGUAUAACACAUUUAUAUACAACUUUCAGCAACGGAUCUCUUGGCUCUCGCAUCGAUGAAGAACGCAGCGAAAUGCGAUAAGUAAUGUGAAUUGCAGAAUUCAGUGAAUCAUCGAAUCUUUGAACGCACCUUGCACUCCUUGGUAUUCCGAGGAGUAUGCCUGUUUGAGUCUCAUGGUAUUCUCAACCCCUAAAUUUUUGUAAUGAAGGUUUAGCGGGCUUGGACUUGGAGGUUGUGUCGGCCCUUGUCGGUCGACUCCUCUGAAAUGCAUUAGCGUGAAUCUUACGGAUCGCCUUCAGUGUGAUAAUUAUCUGCGCUGUGGUGUUGAAGUAUUUAUGGUGUUCAUGCUUCGAACCGUCUCCUUGCCGAGACAAUCAUUUGACAAUCUGAGCUCAAAUCAGGUAGGACUACCCGCUGAACUUAAGCAUAUCAAAAGC